AUAAAGUGGCGAACGGCUGAGUAACACGUGGGCAACCUGCCCUUUGCACUAGGAUAGCCUCGGGAAACCGAGGUUAAUACCGGAUACUCCAUAUUUGUCGCAUGGCGAAUAUGGGAAAGCUCCGGCGGCAAAGGAUGGGCCCGCGGCCUGUUAGCUAGUUGGUGGGGUAGUGGCCUACCAAGGCAAUGAUGGGUAGCCGGGUUGAGAGACCGACCGGCCAGAUUGGGACUGAGACACGGCCCAGACUCCUACGGGGGCAGCAGCA
rnacentral:rRNA from 1 species